rnacentral:rRNA from 1 species
AGAGUUUGAUCCUGGCUCAGAACGAACGCUGGCGGCAUGCCUAACACAUGCAAGUCGAACGCUAUUUAUAGAGUGGCGCACGGGUGAGUAACGCGUGGGAACCUGCCUUUUUCUGCGGGAUAACGGUUGGAAACGACCGCUAAUACCGCAUACGCCCUACGGGGGAAAGGUCCGCCGGAGAAAGAGGGGCCCGCGUCUGAUUAGCUAGUUGGUGGGGUAACGGCCUACCAAGGCGACGAUCAGUAGCUGGUCUGAGAGGAUGAUCAGCCACACUGGGACUGAGACACGGCCCAGACUCCUACGGGAGGCAGCAGUGGGGAAUAUUGGACAAUGGGGGCAACCCUGAUCCAGCAAUGCCGCGUGUGUGAUGAAGGCCUUAGGGUUGUAAAGCACUUUCACUGGUGAAGAUGAUGACGGUAACCAGAGAAGAAGCCCCGGCUAACUUCGUGCCAGCAGCCGCGGUAAUACGAAGGGGGCGAGCGUUGUUCGGAAUUACUGGGCGUAAAGGGAGCGCAGGCGGUUCAUUAAGUUAGGCGUGAAAGCCCCGGGCUCAACCUGGGAACUGCGCUUAAUACUGAUGAACUAGAAAACAGGAGAGGGUAGUGGAAUUUCCAGUGUAGAGGUGAAAUUCGUAGAUAUUGGAAAGAACACCGGUGGCGAAAGCGGCUACCUGGCCUGAUUUUGACGCUGAGGCUCGAAAGCGUGGGGAGCAACAGGAUUAGAUACCCUGGUAGUCCACGCCGUAAACGAUGACAGCUAGAUGUCGGGGGGUUGCCCCUCGGUGUCGCCGCUAACGCAUUAAGCUGUCCGCCUGGGAAGUACGGUCGCAAGAUUAAAACUCAAAGGAAUUGACGG